rnacentral:rRNA from 1 species
CACGUAGGGUUCGAGCGUUGUCCGGAAUUAUUGGGCGUAAAGAGCUCGUAGGCGGUGUGUCGCGUCGGCCGUGAAAACCUGCAGCUUAACUGUGGGCUUGCGGUCGAUACGGGCAUCACUGGAGUUCGGCAGGGGAGACUGGAAUUCCUGGUGUAGCGGUGAAAUGCGCAGAUAUCAGGAGGAACACCGGUGGCGAAGGCGGGUCUCUGGGCCGAUACUGACGCUGAGGAGCGAAAGCGUGGGGAGCGAACGGG